rnacentral:lncRNA from 11 species
UAUAAAUUUUUUAUUAAUAAAAUUUAUUCGAUAAUUUAAUAAAUAAUCGAUUAUCGAUAUGAAUAUUGAUAUCUCUAAUUGAAAUUUGUCCAAUGAAGUUGUCCAAUGAAGUUGUCUGCUUGAACGUACAUAUUUCUCAGCAAAUUCUAUCUAUCUAAGUGUUUUUAAACGAUUAUAGUGAUUUAUAUAAUGAUUCAUACAUUAUAACGAAGUGUUAACUCUGCAAACAUGUUCCCCGGACUAAUCUAUAAGAAAUAAUGAUAUCAUGUAACUUAUGUUACGAUUAUAUGGAUUAACCGUAAACUGGAAGAUCGAAAUCGUUGAUAAUUAGAUCAUAAACAUGAUGGCUGAUUUCGUGACGGCAUACGAAAACGAUCAAUCGAUAUCAAGAAGAUGCUUGUCUACGACAAAUUACGCUCCAGACGAUCAAGACAGUCAUCAAGACCUGAUCGAUUCAUUCAUCGCGAUUUCAUCAGUGAUAUUAGCGGCAUGCGAGCGACGUGUUCACCAAUUAUCGUGAAAUUUGCACACUGACAACUACAAUCUUUUCUCUUUUAUGUACGCGCGUGAUGAGAGUUGUUAAUGAUGACAUGAAUCAAUGUGAUAGCGUUGUAAAUCAAUUUUUAAUUGCGAUUCCGGCUCGAUCUGCUCUCGAUCAUUGUGACAGUGUUGCUAAUAUCGCGAAUGAAAUUCGACGGAUAAUGCAUUAUAGUGGAUUGUUCAUUUGAUUUUAAUAAUUAUCUGUCAACUUGUACACGAUAGAAAAAGAAAUCUAGUUCUAUGGCUGGUUUAAAAGCAUAAUGAAAUCAUAGUAAUAAUUAUAUAUGCAUAUCGUAAUUCAAAUCAUAAUUUCAAUAAAAAUCAUUAUGUUGUCGCUUUUUGAAUAUUGAUGUCGAAGAAUCAAUGUAUUGAUGAUAAAGAAAACGUGUCUCUCUCUCUCUCGGACCAUUUUAAACGUCUUUAUGAGUUUCGGCUGUUAACACGAUCAUGGAAACAGGAUCCUUCAUCACGUGGCGGAGGGGCGUAAAUAGGAAUUCGCGUGACACGUUAGUCUAAAAUUCGCGCGUGAGACAACGGAGGCCGCGAAUCGGUGUGUUCGCGAACACGCCACUUAUCAUAAUGCUUGCUUAAUGCUCGUUGCUGGAACGUGGUGUCUCGCGUGUAACCACCUUGUAGAGGAACGCCCGUGGGACCAACCAGACUUCCCUCUACGUGAUACGUUGACGAGGAUACGUGUGCGAGUGCAUCGAGAACAUUCCCACAAAUUGGCAGCGGCCUGUUCGAAUUGGGAGGGAAAUAGAGAGAGAGAGAGAGAGACGAGAAAAAAAGAAGAGAGAGAAAAUAUAGAAAAUAACGACGAUAAUACGAGGAGAGGCAGGAUACGUUUGUUAGCUUUGCUGUUCGUCCGGAAAACGCUGUAGGAUUCCGGGGUUCGGCCAAGGGGGUGACAGAGCGGCCAUUGUUAUUUCCGCUUACGCGAUGCUCUUUGAUCAGGCGGAAGACGUUAAGCGCAAUUAUAAUUUAAGAAUUUUAUCAGGUGUUAGCAUAAUGAUCGUAUUCUGUGAAUUCCUUUGUUAAAGGAGAAUUGGUAAAGGAGAUAGAAGUUUAAAAUAAGCGGAUUGGAUUGGAAUAAAUACGAUGAAUUAAUAAAAUGAUAAUCACGCGUGCUGAAUGAAUAUGUUUCGCCGUAUUGCAAAUGCAUCGAGGCGAACAUGCCAAAUCGUGUACGAGAAGGAAUCAUUAUUUUUAUGGAUUAAUAUCACGGAUAACUCGAUAUUAUGAUAGAAACAACGACUGUAUAUCGAAGAAUAUAUAUGUAUAAAUAAAUAUUACAAAAAAGCAGCGAUCGACGGAGAGAUUUCAAACGAAAUCCCGUCUCGGUAUCAAUUUUAAUUAACAAAUAAUCGCGGAGGGCAAGGAAUAAUUAAUCAGGCCAGAUGGGUGCGCGGACACGUGUUAAACGGUCAUUCUGAGAGGACAGUUAAAGUCAAGGAUGGUCAUUUUCACCAACGGACGAUUUUAUCAACCCCUACUCGCGAGCUGUAAAUUAAUGACGAACUACCUGAUCUUGCCUCUGGAGAAUUCUCGUGUGCAUGGACGUUUUAUCAUCCUUUGCCGAUCGAUCCAUCGUGUCACGCAUACAUUAUCCGUGCUAUUAAUUAAUUUGCAGCUACGCCGCUUCGGAUACGCAUUGUAUCGUAAUACAUGUAUUAUAAUAUAUAAUCAAUAGGAUGGCGUGGAACAAAAGGAUAAUUCAUUAACCGUUAUCGACGGUUUAAUCGAAUCGAAAAGAGGCCUGGAACAUACAUUCGUUCCAGGACGAAAAGAAUCAAAGGUACGGUUGGAUCGAUCGAUCACGGUAUGGAUCCAUCGUUUGAAGUAUUUUCAUCGUCACGAUUCUGCGCAAAUCGAACCAGCAAACGGGAGAAAGGGACUAGCUUUGACCACGCGAUCCUGCCGCAUUUCGCCACAUCGCAUCGAUCCCCCAUGAGAUAAGCAGUAGUUUGCCCAGCCACUGAGACGAUCGACGUUAAUCGAAGUCGGGUAACCGCGCGUUUACAGCUAAGCGACAUGCAACUAGUGUCCGUUGCGGCCGCAACGACGCAAAAUGAAGAGAAGAAGGGAAACGAAGAGGAAGAAGGAGACGAAGAAAAGUUUCGUUGCAAGUGAAAAAUAUUCUUCCAUUUUCUAUCAAAAAUUUUCGAAAGAAAUUUUUACCAUUGUUUCGAAUAAUGGAGGAAAGGAGAAACUCGAUCAUAUGUCCUAUCUCCAAAUAAUAUCAGAACGUACGGUAAAUCUACUGGCUGAAUAAAACGUUUCAAACGCGUCAAGAGGGAACGCAGAAUAAUCGGAUGGCAGGAUAUAGCCAGGAGAAAGCGAAUAGAGGGAAGAAAAAUGGCGUGGAGUAGAGAGAGAGGUGAGCGCAAAGUCGGUGGAGCGCUGUCUCGUAAAUUUCGCAUGCACCCGUGUCGUUGGAUGCGGUAAGCCGUGUAAUGCUCGGCGCUGGCCACGGGGGGACGUAUCGCGCGCAUAAAAAUGAGUGAACUCGGUGCAUUAAGCCGAGUAAUGGGCGCCUUUGGGAGGAAACAGCAGCAUAGGCGCCGCAGCCUAGGUGUAAUACGCCAUGACAAAGUGGCGCGUCUGGCCUGUUGCGACGAGAGGAGGAUAUAGCUCGGCCUGCCUCGAUAUCCUUGACCAUCGUGUCCGGCCGCGUUCAGCGGCACCAGCACGCGUUGUAAGAAAGCGUAUCGCCGCGCGUCUCGUGUUCGCUUCAACUUGGCGGAAUAAUUAAUUCGAUCGAUCCGAGCCGCGCAAUUAAAUCGGGGUGUCGGUGCGCACUGAUAAGUAAACACCUCUAACGGGCCGGGUUGAUAUUACAUAAAUUUAUAUACGUCACAGGCCAGGAUCAGAGCAUCGGGCGGCGUGGUAUCGCGUGCCAAUUUACACGCGUAACCGCGGAUUCGAUCCACCUAUGAUUGGAUUAAUAAGUAUGGAAGCAAUAUUAUGUAACAUAUCGCGAGUUCUGUAAAGUAUAUAUAUAUGUAUAUAUAGUUUGAUCGAGCAACAUCGAAAUGGUAGUAACGUGCAAUACAAUACUACACGUGUAACGAUUUUCGAUCAUCAGAAACGCGAGAAAUCGAAAAUGUCUAAAGUUUUCUUUUCUUACCAAUAACGAAGAGCGUUUCGCCGCGAGCGAUGGAGGUCAAGAACCGUUGCUAGCUCACAAUAUUUCAACUUGUUGCGAUGCGUGAUAUACUAGAUUCGCGAUACGCUACAACGAACGACGUUACACACACACACAUAUACAUCGAGUUCAUCUAUCGCGUCUAUCGUUUUCGACCGUGUAUCCUCAAUAGCUACGAUACGCUAUGACUACGCAACGCGAUUUUUCUGAGACUCUCGAUCGAGUUGACGAUUACGUUACAGCUCGUUAAUAGGGGCGCGAUGAAGUUGAGGUGCAGCAAUUUGAUGGUGUGAACGGGUUAUUACGGUUUACAGCGCCCUAUUCAUCGAGGGCGGAAGGCAUUUCGUCGGAUCGUCGCAAAUAAUCGUGGAUGGGUAACGACAAAAAGCGCGCCACUUCUAAGCGCUACGAGAUUCCCCCUUGUACGGUUAGAAACCUGUGCGCCCCACUAUCGGCGCACACGAUUGCGCAUGCGCGGUUGCCGUGCGCCGGCCGCGUUGGCGCCAACCGGCGCGGCGGGGUUCCACUUUGGCCAUGGUUCGCGCAGUCAAAGGCACUUUUUCGCGAUUGUUUGCGGAAGAACGACGCGGUUUGCGAAGCCAACCGGGGCCUUGUACAAGUCUUUACACCGCGGCCAUGAAAGCGAUCGUUUUUUCUUUUACAUAGGAUCCUUUCGAUGGAAUACUCGCCGCGAAAAAGCCGCCCGUGUGAAUCGCAUUUUGCCGCGCUUUUCGCGCGCGCGGAAGGGAGCAGUGCAUCGGUUCAAGAGGCGGAGAGGCACGCGGAUAGAGAGUGGGAUUAAUUGUUUUCUUUGUACCGCGAAGGAAGCAUCAUAGGCGCCACAGCUCCACAUUUGGAACGAAUUAAUUAACAAUAAGUCUGUUACCGUAAGUGGACUCGUCGGAUUUAAUUAGCGCUCGAGGGUUCUCUGUCGGUUUCAAUACUGUUGACGGGAAAAUCAAGAUGGCGGAAGUGAUUAAGUUUAAUACGAAAUCCUCGAGGGUCUUUAACGGAUAUUGACGGUGAACUCUUACUUUUAUAUCUAUAGCGGGAUCGAUCAAAAGAACUUUUCCGAUAAAAUCUCUUCCUUUACAAAAUGGCGACACAAGCGCAUAACGUCGAUUUUUCGUAUAACGAUAAUACGUUCACCAGUGUCAAAGGAUUUUGAAAUACGAUUAUCGUCACCCGUUUCGAAAAUAAAAAAAAAGAAAGAAAGAAAGAAAGAGACGUAUGCAAUACGUACGCAUCAUGAGGCGAGCACGCGCGCGUCGCAACGUUAUCGAAUUCACUGACGAUUACCGGUUUUAUCGACGAUAAAUAACCACGACACUAUGUUGUAAUCUUGUGAAAUGUAAAUGGUGGCCCGAGUGAAAUAGUAAUUAUAAAUUUUUCCUGCGUGGCAAACGUUGGCGCUGGUCAACGUAGAUGCCGCUUUUGUGUCAUUAUAUAUUACACGAGGCCAUUUGCACUUCUCGGCCGGGCCGUAAUCCGCGAGACACGGACAUGGAAAACGCGAUACGUAUGCGAAUGAGCCAAUCCCGCCCCGUACAUAAAUUAGAAUAUAACUCCCGCGGCUGAACGCGUCUAAGAAAUUGCAUUUUCUCUCCGCGAGAAUAUUGAAAGCAUUAUAAAAAAUCUUUACGCGUGCACGCUCGAUCGCUCGAACGGUUGCUCAUGAAUAUUUAUUCGCGGCAAUAACUUUUCUGUCGGCGCGUCUAUACCAUCGCUAUGAAAUCGCGACGAUUUGCUGACGAUCCGACGAGUAUCGGGUACGAGUCGGGUAGAAAACGUUAUGAAAACGUGGUUAACAAUGUUGUUUCUAGUAAUGGAGGUGUGUUUCGUGAUUUCAUAUGUUGUCGAAUGUACAUAUUUCCAAUGUAUUUUUGUUACCUAGUUUUAUUUAUUUUUAUUUUUUUUUUUUGAUCGAUGUUUCCAAUAGAUUGCUGUUCGAGAUUACGUACAGUAGACGAUAUAUAAAUGAUAACGAUUUUAUGGAAUAUGAUGAUUAUUAAGAACGAUUUAUAAAGAUCGUUAAAUACUGCGCUUUAAAAGGAACAAAGUUUAUUUAUGAUCGAGUGGAAAAUUAAAAAAAAAAAAAAAAUUGUAAAAAUUCUUAUUAUAAAAGAUUGGCGAAAAGUUGGAGGGAUUCCUAAUAAGGACAUUUCGCAAGGAGAAAUCGCUUUGGGAAAUUUACUUUGAAAUAAAGAAGGAAGGAGAGAACAAGAGGGAGGAUAUAACAGGAAAUAAUAGGGAAAGUAAUGAGAAGCGGGUUUUUCCCCCUAGAGGUUAAAUUAAACAAGAUUCUUUCGUUCCUCUAUCUUCGUUCGCCCAUCUUGAAUUUAUUUGUCUCGCUCGCAGGAAUCAAGACGCUUUACAUUUCAUGCCGCAUAAAUUGUAUGUUAACUAUAGGUGGAGGAAGGUCGAUAUUCACCGUGAAACAAGAGCAAAAAAAAAAAAAAAAAAGUAUCGUAAGAAUGAAACGGCAAGAAGAAACGGUCCUUUAUUAAGUACUCUUGCCUUUAAACGGCUUUCAAGCCCGAGUAAAAACUUGCCCCCACCUCGUAAUCUUAUUAAUCAAACAAUCCUUCACGUCCCGAAAAUUGCCUAUAAUUCGAUCACAUUUUCACGAAAUAUUAAUCAUCCCAAUAAAUUAAUCGCGCUUCCUCUUCGAAGAUAUUCGUUGUCAACACAUCUCUAACCUUUGCAAUUUAGAAUUCGAUCCCUCUCUCCAACAUUGGAUUCUCAAAAUACCUCUUGAGAAUUUAAUUAUCGAAUCAAUCGAAAUUCUUGGUGAAAAAAUUCUCCCUCUUGACAAAUUAUAUCCUCGUUCCCGGAUAAUAUUCAACCGGAGAAUCGUUUGAUGCCCAAGAUUGAUGCGACGUUUCUUACUUCUCCCCGCUCACUUUAAAAUGUAGUACCAUUAAAAAGUGACUCCCUCGCUUCCUCCCCUCGCCUCUUCUCCCUUUCCUUCGUCUCUCCUCCCUUCCCUCCUCUCGCCUCGCGAUCCUUCCCUUCGCGAGGCCAGACGGCACGAGCGUUCGAGCGGGUAGUCGAAAAGUAAAAGGAAAAAAAAAGAAAAAAAAAAAAGGUAAAAGAUCGCGCUCGUUAUUCAGCGUUAUCCCGGUGGGCCCCGUGUAGAUGAUUUCACGCCGUGACACGGCUGCUCGACGAAAGGUGCGUUAAGUGUUGCAUUCGAUGCAGUCGCAGCCGCGGCGGCACUCUUUCGAGAUCCCUCCAACGCGGUGACGGUGCACGGUGCACCGAAAGGAAGUUCCUUAACCGCGGUUGUGUACGUCGGGGUGUGCGAAGAAAAGGGUGAAAAUGUUUUCACGGAACGAUGGAACCACUCCCAUCCUAUCGCCCCGCGAGCAUUAUUUAUCGCUGAGGGGGUGAGGGAAAAUAGCAUGUGGAUAAAAAGAAGAAGAAGGGGAAAAUUGCUCACGAGUUGCAGAUUUUUUCGACAUAUAUAGCAGGGCCUCCUUUGAACCGAUAUAAUCGUCUAAAAAAAAGGAAGAAACCAUGAGAUAUACUUCGUUUUUUGAAUUUUCAUGGCUAAGCCGAUAACUCGACGAAGUAUUUAAUUACGAAUCAGGCUUCAAGUUCUCGAGAUCUUUUCCGGACGAGAAAAUAGAAAAUUCAAAAGGACGAGCGUUCGAAAAAAGAAAACCUUGUUUCAUUACGAAUCAGACUUCAAGUUCUCGAGAUCUUUUCGGAGAAAAUAGAAAAGGACGAGCGUUCGAAAAAAGAAAACCUUGUUUCAUUACAAUUACGAAUCAGACUUCAAGUUCUCGAGAUCUUUUCGGACGAGAAAAUAGAAAAUUCAAAAGGACGAGCGUUCGAAAAAAGAAAACCUUGUUUCAUUACAAUUACGAAUCAGGCUUCAAGUUCUCGAGAUCUUUUCGGACGAGAAAAUAGAAAAUUCAAAAGGAUGAGCGUUCGAAAAAAGAAAACCUUGUUUCAUUACAAUUACGAAUCAGACUUCAAGUUCUCGAGAUCUUUUCGGAGAAAAUAGAAAAUUCAAAAGGACGAGCGUUCGAAAAAAGAAAAGCUUGUUUCAUUACAAUUACGAAUCAGACUUCAAGUUCUCGAGAUCUUUUCGGACGAGAAAAUAGAAAAUUCAAAAGGACGAGCGUUCGAAAAAAGAAAAGCUUGUUUCAUUACAAUUACGAAUCAGACUUCAAGUUCUCGAGAUCUUUUCGGACGAGAAAAUAGAAAAUUCAAAAGGACGAGCGUUCGAAAAAAGAAAAGCUUGUUUCAUUACAUCCAUUCAGAUAAAAUUUCUUCGAUCUUCGAAUCCCCCCUUCAAAGUAGAUUCGAGAAACAAAUCCAUUUAGCUACAUCGGAGAAUGGACGAAAUGCGCUUGUCCUCCGCGCGGAAAGGCAAACUGCGGUUCCCGCGGGUGUUGGGGAAUAUCCAGGAAUAGCCGGUGUCACGGGCAAAUUUAACUAGCCGCAUAUCAAUAGCCGGCGAGAGCGGAAUCGCCGCGGGCGCGCGAUCGAGAGAGAAAGAGAGAGAGCCCCGUUGUUGGGGGGGAAAAAAAGGAAAACGUUCUCGGUCUGCAGCCUCCGCCACCGGUGUCGGUUGGGGUGCGCCCGACGAGCGAAAGGGGGAAGUGUGACGGUAGCCAAGUCCUCAUUAGCGCAUUCCGCUGCGACGCCCGCGACUCAAAGCGUCGUAAAAACGGCUGAGAUGUAGCGAGGCGGAGGGACGGAGAUCGAGGGAAGGAUGGAAAGAGAGAGAGAGAGUGUGUAGCCGUGGAAUCGAGCUGCUCAAACGUAUCCACCCCGCGCCACCUCCUGAUAGAAAGGGGAGGAUGGCCUCUCCUUCGUUCGAACUCGUUACCACUCCGUUCCUCUGCCGUUUCGUCGCGUCUAUUUCCGAGAUGAUGCUUCCCUGUCCCUGGCGCGUGCGCGUGUGAGCUUCGCCUCGCCGAUUCUCUACGGGAAUCGCUCGAUUAUUCUGCGAAUGGUUUGUCGAGAGGGAUUUCAGUUUCGUCGAUCGAGUGGUUUGGCAAACGAUCAGGCCUCAAUCAGUGUUUUGUCGCGAUAAGUUCGGAAUGGGAGGGGUUAAUCCGAUAUUCGACUCGCGUCUAGGUUCUUUUUUUUUCUUUUUCGUUCGAUAAAUGCGUAGAUGACUCUUUUCCUCUUAUUAUAAUAUCAUUUUUCCAAGGAUAUCUUUUUUCAGUUUCGUCGAUCGAGUGGUUUGGCAAGCGAUCAGGCCUCAAUCAUGUUUUGUCGCGAUUCGGAUAAGUUCGGAAUAGGAAGGGUUAAUCCGAUGUUCGACUCGCGUCUAGGUUGUUUUUUUUUCUUUUUCGUUCGAUAAAUGCGUAGAUGACUCUUUUCCUCUUAUUAUAAUAUCAUUUUUCCAAGGAUAUCUUUUUUCAAUUUCGUCGAUCGAGUGGUUUGGCAAGCGAUCAGGCUUGAAUCAUCAGUGUUUUGUCGCGAUUCGGAUAAGUUCGGAAUAGGAGGGGUUAAUCCGAUGUUCGACUCGCGUCUAGGUUUUUUUUUUCUUCUUCUUCGUUCGAUAAAUGACUCUUUUCCUUUAUUAUAAUAUCAUUUUUCCAAGGAUAUCUUUUUUUCACGUUUAUCUUUAGAAUCGAUUAUACAAUACCUUCCGAGAUAUUUUAACAUAGAUAUUAUCCGCACUUAAUAACACUUUAUAUGUAUUUAAUAUGUAAUGGAUAAGAAUGGUGGUACAACAACGUAACAACGUCGAGUCAAUUUCCAUAUCGAAUCGCGAGAAAAUUUUUAUCGGAAAAUAUCGACGCAUCCUGUCGAUGUUGAAGAGAAACGGGGAGAAAGAGCGCGUAAGAGCCUUGAAGAGCGUUGGAAGAAGGAAAGAAAGAAAGAAUUAAUUAACCGUGGAUCAGCGCCGCCGCGAAUAGACACGGUGUUCCCACGGAUAAAAAAGUUUCACGACGUCUAGAGAAGACUUCCUGGAUCGUGGUGGAUCUCGACGAUCCGGACGAUCUCGUAACGUAAAGACCAGCCGAAGAGAAAUCUGGAUGAUUUAUGGGGAGGGAGACGACGACGACCACGAGCACGCUCUCGCGCCCUGGCGAGGGACGGAGAGAAGGAGAACGAGUUCGAAUCCCUUAUUCGUCGGCCUCUUCUUUCUGCGCUGGCUUCAAAUUCAUGUAGCGUGAGAGUGUUUAUAAAUACGGGAAGCCGGGCGGAUUUGUCAAGUCGCGCGCGCUCGUUUCACUCGCCGGAUCACUCGAGGAACGGAGACGAGGGACACGUGUUACGACGAGCGACGAAGGAGAAAGUAUCGCGAUUCCCGUUGCUUUCGAUCGUAUCGGCCUUACGACCCUCUUUGAUCUUACCUCUUCUUGCUCCUCUUUUUUUUUCUUUUGCGUCUCCUUUUGUUGCUUACUCGCUUAUUUAUUUUCAUUUUUCAAAAUAUUUUUUAUAUCGUUGUGGAAAAGAGGGAGAAAUGGAAUCGACUAAUUAAAUGGAAUGGAAUUUCGAAAGAUGGAUGGAUCGCACAAAUGUAAUCUUCUAAUUCAAAAUUUAUAUUCGGAGAUGGAAAUAUUAUCUAUCGAGGAACAUGUAAGAGAUAAGAAGAAUGGUUAAUCGCGUGUAAACAAGAAGGAAUAAGAUGAAUAAGAGGGAAAUGAGCAAGAAGGAAAAUUGAUCGAGUUGAAAUGGAUCUGAGACAAGUUAUCGAUUAAGAUGAUAAUGUUAAAGAGAUAAUAAUAGUUCUUUUGAUGAA